rnacentral:rRNA from 1 species
GUGGGGAAUAUUGGACAAUGGGCGCAAGCCUGAUCCAGCAAUGCCGCGUGGGUGAAGAAGGUCUUCGGAUCGUAAAGCCCUUUCGACAGGGACGAUGAUGACGGUACCUGUAGAAGAAGCCCCGGCUAACUUCGUGCCAGCAGCCGCGGUAAUACGAAGGGGGCUAGCGUUACUCGGAAUUACUGGGCGUAAAGGGCGCGUAGGCGGCUCUGUUAGUCAGGCGUGAAAUUCCUGGGCUUAACCUGGGGACUGCGCUUGAUACUUCAGGGCUUGAGGCCGAGAGAGGGUGGUGGAAUUCCCAGUGUAGAGGUGAACUUCGUAGAUAUUGGGAAGAACACCGGUGGCGAAGGCGACCACCUGGCUCGGUUCUGACGCUGAGGCGCGACAGCGUGGGGAGCAAACAGGAUUAGAAACCCCGGUAGUCC